rnacentral:rRNA from 1 species
AUUGAACGCUGGCGGCAUGCUUUACACAUGCAAGUCGAACGGCAGCGCGGGCUUCGGCCUGGCGGCGAGUGGCGAACGGGUGAGUAAUGCAUCGGAACGUGCCCAGUAGUGGGGGAUAGCCCGGCGAAAGCCGGAUUAAUACCGCAUACGACCUGAGGGUGAAAGCGGGGGACCGAAAGGCCUCGCGCUAUUGGAGCGGCCGAUGUCGGAUUAGCUAGUUGGUGGGGGAAAGGCUUACCCAGGCGACGAUCCGUAGCUGGUCUGAGAGGACGACCAGCCACACUGGGACUGAGACACGGCCCAGACUCCUACGGGAGGCAGCAGUGGGGAAUUUUGGACAAUGGGGGCAACCCUGAUCCAGCCAUGCCGCGUGCGGGAAGAAGGCCUUCGGGUUGUAAACCGCUUUUGUUCGGGAAGAAAUCCUCUGGGCUAAUACCCCGGGGGGAUGACGGUACCGGAAGAAUAAGCACCGGCUAACUACGUG